GAUGAACGCUGGCGGCGUGCCUAACACAUGCAAGUGGAGCGACGAACCCGGACUUGUCCGGGGGCAAAGCCGCGAACGGGUGAGUAACACGUGGAUUGUCUGCCCCAAUGACCGGGACAACCCGAGGAAACUCGAGCUAAUAUCGGAUGUGCUCUUCGGAGGAAAGGAAGCUUCGGCCUCCGCAUUGGGAUGAGUCCGCGGCGCAUUAGCUAGUUGGUGGGGUAAUGGCCUACCAAGGCGACGAUGCGCAGCUGGUCUGAGAGGACGAUCAGCCACACUGGAACUGAGACACGGUCCAGACUCCUACGGGAGGCAGCAGUGGGGAAUCUUGCGCAAUGCACGAAAGUGUGACGCAGCAACGCCGCGUGCGGGAAGAAGGUCUUCGGAUCGUAAACCGCUUUCAGUUGGGACGAGGGUCAGCUGGUGAAUAGCCAGUCUGACUGACGGUACCUUCAGAAGAAGCCCCGGCUAACUACGUGCCAGCAGCCGCAGUAAGAC
rnacentral:rRNA from 1 species